GACAUCUACUUCUACUCAUCACUACAGACAGGCUUGAUUCUCCGAUCAUGUGCAGUCUUGGUUCAGUACAUAAAGUUCAGCUGCCGUUCAGCCAUCAAAACAGCAGCAGAGUGAGACGUCUUCCUUUACCUCAUACCAUUGUCAUUACUCAUCAGCGCCCUCCGGUGGCCAUAAACUGUAACUGCAUAUGGAUUAAUGAAGAUUGUGAUGAGACGCUAAGGAGCAGGAGUCAGAGUGACAUUUCUGCAGCUGUUUGAGGACGAACCGUGAAGAGAGGCUGAUUAUGGCGACGGAAAAACAAAAGAUGGACAAUCGAGAAACAAACUAAACUCUGUCUGAACAAACACAGAAUCUCUUUGAUAGUUUUAGAUGGAGAAGAAGAAGAAGAUGGGUUUUAAAGCGCUUUAUUGUGUCUGGAUCAUCUUCUACUCAGGUAAGAAAGAGAAAUCUCCUUUAAAGGACUGAAUCACUCUAAAGUACCAAACUAAACACUGUUUAGCACUAAUGAGCACUUAGUGAGGUUUAAUAACAGUUUUUAAAGGAAUAAUCGGUAAUUCAGUGAUUUCAUAAAAAAACUGGAGCUUAAUAUUAUUUUUUACAGCAUUAAAAAGGAGUUUAAGUCUUUUACUGAUCAGAAAACUGUCAAUAUUGUCAGUCUAAGACACAUUAUUACAAAGACUGUAAAGUAAAAUACAUGAUUAAUAUUUAUUUAAACAUAAAAUAAAAAAAUGACUCCACAUUUUAGUUAUUUCAAAUCACAAAAAAUGUUAAUUAGUGUUGCAUUUUACUGCAUGUUAAUGCUGUUUAUUGUAUCAUCACCAUUAUAGUUAUAGUUAGACUGGAUGGAGCACAACAUUUUACUAGUCGACCAACUUCUUAACGACCAUGGCUUUUUACUUUCUUAUGAAGAAUUUAUGUUAAAAUUUCAACUCCUGGUCACCCCAAAACAAUAUGCAGUGGUUUUUGAUGCAUUACCUCAGGGGGUGCUACAACUUCUUAAAGGGUCUGAAAGAACGGCUGCUACUCCAGGAAAUUACACCUGUGAUAUAUUUGUGGGCGGAAUAGACAUUACAAAAAGAGCCUGCUCGAAUAGACUGUUGAGAAGCUGCCUACAACCAAAGACACUGCCUAGAGGUCAAACUAACUGGUCUGUACAACUGGGAGAAAUUAACUGGAGUAAUGCAUGGCUGGUUGGUGAAAAAUUCUGUCUCAAUAACAAGGUCAAAGAAGUCUCUUUUAAAAUAUUACAUCAGAUUUACCCUGCAAAGAAAACUCUUGGAAGAUUCAAACUGGACAUUGAAUAUUUAUGUGAUUUCUGUGGACUUGAAGAUGAAACCAUCUCUCAUUUAUUCUAUCAUUGUACCUACAGUAAAACCUUUUGGAUUGAUGUCCAACAAUUUGUGCACGAGAAAACAGGAGGAACGAUCAGUUUCCAGGAAAAACAUAU